rnacentral:rRNA from 1 species
UACGUAGGGUGCGAGCGUUGUCCGGAAUUACUGGGCGUAAAGAGCUCGUAGGUGGUUUGUCGCGUUGUCCGUGAAAACUCACAACUCAAUUGUGGGCGUGCGGGCGAUACGGGCAGACUGGAGUACUGCAGGGGAGACUGGAAUUCCUGGUGUAGCGGUGGAAUGCGCAGAUAUCAGGAGGAACACCGGUGGCGAAGGCGGGUCUCUGGGCAGUAACUGACGCUGAGGAGCGAAAGCAUGGGGAGCGAACAGG